GAUCAUGGCUCAGGACGAACGCUGGCGGCGUGCCUAACACAUGCAAGUCGAACGGAGAUACGAUUUCGGUUGUAUCUUAGUGGCGAACGGGUGAGUAACGCGUGAGCAACCUGACCUUUAGAGGGGGAUAACACUUGGAAACAGGUGCUAAUACCGCAUAAGACCACGACCUGACAUCAGGAUGAGGUCAAAGGAGCAAUCCGCUAAAGGAGGGGCUCGCGUCCCAUUAGAUAGAUGGCGGGUAACGGCCCACCAUGUCGACGAUGGGUAGCCGAGCUGAGAGGCUGAUCGGCCACACUGGAACUGAGACACGGUCCAGACUCCUACGGGAGGCAGCAGUGGGGAAUAUUGGGCAAUGGGCGCAAGCCUGACCCAGCAACGCCGCGUGAGGGAAGAAGGCCUUCGGGUUGUAAACCUCUGUCCUUGGUGACGAAACAAAUGACGGUAGCCAAGGAGGAAGCCCCGGCUAACUACGUG
rnacentral:rRNA from 1 species